rnacentral:rRNA from 1 species
GGACGAACGCUGGCGGCGUGCUUAACACAUGCAAGUCGAGCGGUAAGGCCCUUUCGGGGGUACGACGAGCGGCGAACGGGUGAGUAACACGUGGGUGACCUGCCCUCAGCUCUGGGAUAAGCCUGGGAAACGUGGGUCUAAUACCGGAUAUGACCCCAUGACGCAUGUCGUGGGGUGGAAAGCCUUGUGCGGCUGAGGAUGGGCCCGCGGCCUAUCAGCUUGUUGGUGGGGUGAUGGCCUACCAAGGCGACGACGGGUAGCCGGCCUGAGAGGGCGACCGGCCACACUGGGGACUGAGACACGGCCCAGACUCCUACGGGAGGCAGCAGUGGGGAAUCUUGCGCAAUGGGCGAAGCCUGACGCAGCGACGCCGCGUGAGGGAUGAC